rnacentral:rRNA from 1 species
UGGGGAAUCUUGCACAAUGGGGGCAACCCUGAUGCAGCGACGCCGCGUGAGCGAUGAAGCCCUUCGGGGCGUAAAGCUCUUUCGACCGGAACGAUAAUGACGGUACCGGGAGAAGAAGCUGCGGCUAACUACGUGCCAGCAGCCGCGGUAAUACGUAGGCAGCAAGCGUUACUCGGAAUUACUGGGCGUAAAGCGUGCGUAGGUGGUUCGUUAAGUCUGAUGUGAAAGCCCUGGGCUCAACCUGGGAAUGGCAUUGGAAACUGGCGGACUGGAGUGCGGUAGAGGGUAGCGGAAUUCCCGGUGUAGCAGUGAAAUGCGUAGAGAUCGGGAGGAACAUCCGUGGCGAAGGCGGCUACCUGGACCAGCACUGACACUGAGGCACGAAAGCGUGGGGAGCAAAC